CAGCCGCCACGGGAAUACGAAGGGUGCAAGCGUUACUCGGAAUUACUGGGCGUAAAGCGUGCGUAGGUGGUGGUUUAAGUCCGUUGUGAAAGCCCUGGGCUCAACCUGGGAAUUGCAGUGGAUACUGGGUCACUAGAGUGUGGUAGAGGAUAGUGGAAUUUCCGGUGUAGCAGUGAAAUGCGUAGAGAUCGGAAGGAACACCGAUGGCGAAGGCAGCCAUCUGGCCUAAUACUGACGCUGAGGUACGAAAGCAUGGGGAGCAAACAGGAUUAGAUACCCCGGUAGUCCCUGUCUCUUAUAC
rnacentral:rRNA from 1 species